rnacentral:lncRNA from 1 species
GUCAAAAAAGAGGCCGAAAUAAGCAUUUUUGUAGUUUUCAGUCAAUAACUUAUGUUUAAGUGUAUAAAUCUCCCUGAAAUUAUACCACAAGUUUCCAUACUACGAAGGGAUGGUUAUGGGGGUUAUGGCUCAAAUCAUUCAGCAAUUAGGGGCAAAAAAAGGGGGGAAAACAAGGGUUAUUCUGGUUAAAGAACAAUUUAGACAAUUUAAAAGCAGUGUAAGGGAGGUAAUGCAAUUAAAAUUUAAAGAA